rnacentral:piRNA from 1 species
UCACAAGGACAGGCAAUAUUA